GAUGAACGCUGGCGGCGUGCCUAAUACAUGCAAGUCGAGCGAACAGAUGAUGAGCUUGCUCCUCUGACGUUAGCGGCGGACGGGUGAGUAACACGUGGAUAACCUACCUAUAAGACUGGGAUAACUUCGGGAAACCGGAGCUAAUACCGGAUAAUAUAUUGAACCGCAUGGUUCAAUAGUGAAAGACGGUUUUGCUGUCACUUAUAGAUGGAUCCGCGCCGGAUUAGCUAGUUGGUAAGGUAACGGCCUACCAAGGCAACGAUGCGUAGCCGACCUGAGAGGGUGAUCGGCCACACUGGAACUGAGACACGGUCCAGACUCCUACGGGAGGCAGCAGUAGGGAAUCUUCCGCAAUGGGCGAAAGCCUGACGGAGCAACGCCGCGUGAGUGAUGAAGGUCUUCGGGUCGUAAAACUCUGUUAUUAGGGAAGAACAAAUGUGUAAGUAACUAUGCACGUCUUGACGGUACCUAAUCAGAAAGCCACGGCUAACUACGUG
rnacentral:rRNA from 1 species